rnacentral:rRNA from 1 species
CAGCCGCCGCGGUAAUACAGAGGGUGCAAGCGUUAAUCGGAAUUACUGGGCGUAAAGCGCGCGUAGGUGGUUCGCCAAGUUGGAUGUGAAAUCCCCGGGCUCAACCUGGGAACUGCAUCCAAAACUGGCGAGCUAGAGUAUGGUAGAGGGUGGUGGAAUUUCCUGUGUAGCGGUGAAAUGCGUAGAUAUAGGAAGGAACAUCAGUGGCGAAGGCGACCACCUGGACUGAUACUGACACUGAGGUGCGAAAGCGUGGGGAGCAAACAGGAUUAGAUACCCGCGUAGUCUCUGUCUCUUAUAA